GAUGUAGUGGAAGAUACAGAUGAUGUAGAUACGGGAGUUACACUGAGGAGAGAUAUUGGUCGCCAGUGUGAUCCAGACCCCCUUAUACUUGAAAAUCAGAGACUUAAGUUGGAAUUAAGGAGGUUACGAGACACAAGGUGGUCUGUUGCCAAGAUUAAAGAUGAUGACGCAAUGAUCAGGUUCUGUACAGGACUCCCAAGCUUUGCGGUGUUUCUGUGGCUUUUCAACUACCUGGCACCAAAGCUUGAGAUGAUGGUCUACUGGAGAGGUAGUUCAGCAACUCCAGAGGAAAGGAGUAGAGCUAGGCGAAGCAUGGCACUGGAGCCAAUUAAUCAAUUUUUGGCAACAUUGAUGAGGCU